UAGCGGAGGAAAAGAAACCAACCGGGAUUGCCUUAGUAACGGCGAAGUGAAGCGGCAAAAGCUCAAAUUUGAAAUCUGGUACCUUCGGUGCCCGAGUUGUAAUUUGGAGAGGGCAACUUUGGGGCCGUUCCUUGUCUAUGUUCCUUGGAACAGGACGUCAUAGAGGGUGAGAAUCCCGUGUGGCGAGGAGUGCGGUUCUUUGUAAAGUGCCUUCGAAGAGUCGAGUUGUUUGGGAAUGCAGCUCUAAGUGGGUGGUAAAUUCCAUCUAAAGCUAAAUAUUGGCGAGAGACCGAUAGCGAACAAGUACAGUGAUGGAAAGAUGAAAAGAACUUUGAAAAGAGAGUGAAAAAGUACGUGAAAUUGUUGAAAGGGAAGGGCAUUUGAUCAGACAUGGUGUUUUGUGCCCUCUGCUCCUUGUGGGUAGGGGAAUCUCGCAUUUCACUGGGCCAGCAUCAGUUUUGGUGGCAGGAUAAAUCCAUAGGAAUGUAGCUUGCCUCGGUAAGUAUUAUAGCCUGUGGGAAUACUGCCAGCUGGGACUGAGGACUGCGACGUAAGUCAAGGAUGCUGGCAUAAUGGUUAUAUGCCGCCCGUCUUGAA
rnacentral:rRNA from 1 species